AUGGGUCCUGUGCACUCUGUCUUCUCCUCUGCUGAUUUCUAGUUUGAAGAUCAAUCUCACUGCAAUGGGAAAGCACAUCUUGCUGCUCCUAUUGGGCCUGUGUUUGCUGGUGAACUCCCUCCAAGAUGGUAAAUUUCUGCUUGGAAGCCAGAGAUGUGCUGAUGUUUGCUUUAAAGGGACUGUUGAGAAUGGAGGUCUGACUGCAAAAAUGAAGUGCUGCUCAAAGUCUUUCUGUAAUACAGUAAAUAUAUGAUGCUUAAUUGUACUGUUGGAUUUUAGUGUUCUUUAUUGAGUCUUGACCCUGGAUCAUGCCAGAAAGAACUGCCUACUGACCAUGUCUGGAGCCCUCAUGGUGCAUCCUACAUCAUGUUUUCUGACUAC